CCGGCGACCGGCGGACGGGUGCGUAGCGCGUAUGUAACCUACCUUUGACAGGGGGAUAACAUCGAGAAAUUGGUACUAAUACCCCAUAACAUCACCGGAGGCAUCUUCGGUGGUUGAAAACUCAGGUGGUCAGAGAUGGACAUGCGUUGUAUUAGCUAGUUGGUGAGGUAACGGCUCACCAAGGCGACGAUACAUAGGGGGACUGAGAGGUCAACCCCCCACAUUGGUACUGAGACACGGACCAAACUCCUACGGGAGGCAGCAG
rnacentral:rRNA from 1 species